UACUUUGCUAGGAUGAUAAAAUGGCACGUGACAGAGGCUGUUUAAAUUGACACGAAAAUAAAGUGUUAUAAGGUAAACGAUUCAGCUAGAGUGAGCAUAUCUAGCUGUACCGACCUUUGAUGUACAGCAUUGUAACAACAACAACGAAUAAGAGAACAGAUUCGAUUAUUGAGCUCAGUAGCCGUUGACGAAGUUGUAAAAACAAUGCAACGGGAGGAACAUUCAAUCAAACUUAGCGCACAGCACAGGCUUCCCACCUGCGUUAGUGAAGAAUUAUAAUAAUAAUAAUAAUAAUAAUGCUCGUUUAUUUCAACCGUUUGCAGUUCUUUUACAACUGAAUUACCGGUAGGGUCAGCUAACUACAAAAUACAUUACACCAUACAUAAUUCAUAAUAACA